CUUUCCUGCCUUUGGGUAGGGGAACCACCCCUGCAUCCCCUCUCCACUGAAAGCUGUUUUCAUCACUCAAUAAAACUCCCCACCCAGGCCGAGUGGGCAGGCCAUCUCCUGCAGCAGGUAGUGUGGCCCACUGAGGCCUGGGCAGGGUGUCACCAGCCAGAGGUUCCUGGCUUACAAAGUGAUGGAGAAAAAAUCCUGUGUCACUGGGCCUUGAUUUCCACACCCUUGUUAAAUGGGAGUGUCAGAUGAGAGGAUAAUUCUUUCCAGUCUUGAAUGAAUUCCUUGCUCACUUUUUUGUAAUCCCAUAGGCUGUAUUAAUAUGUUAGUGUUUAUCUUGAGCUGAAAUUAUCAUUAACAAAUUUUUGAGACAGGAUAAUCUUUGGAGAUCCAUCUGAUCUGGGCCUGAAAUAACUUUUUUUUUUUUUUUUUUGAGACGGAGUUUCACUCUUGUUGCCCAGGCUGGAAUGCAGUGACACGAUCUCAGCUCAUUGCAACCUCUGCCUCCUGGGUUCAAGCAAUUCUCCUGCCUCAGCCUCCUGAGUAGCUGGGAUUACAGAAGCCUGCCACCACGCCCUGCUAAUUUUUGUAUUUUUAGUAGAGAUGGGGUUUCACCAUGUUGGCCAGGCUGAUGGUCUCGAACUCCUGACCUCAGGUGAUUCGGCCUCCUCGGCCUCCCCUCAAAGUGCUGGGAUUACAGGAGUGAGCCACCGUGCCCAGCCGAAAUAACUUUUAUGAACAUUCAUGAAGUUCAGAGGGGACCAAUUUCCUGCAAAUGUCAAAAUUGGGAGCCACAUGACAGUGAAUUAUGACUUCUCCCAUCUUCCAGUGAAAAAUUGAAGAGAUGAAAGUCCUGCACUGAUGACUAAUGGAUUUACUAGUCUCUGAAAAAACAGAUUUAAGAGUUCUUUCCUUGCUUUUCCAGAAAAGUAAAAAUCAGUAAAACCUCCCAGAGGAAUAACUGGGGGUAAAGGGUAUAGCCAAUUUGGCUUGCUAAAAUCCAGGCUUCUUUUUAGGUAAAAUGCAUGUUUAUGGG
rnacentral:lncRNA from 1 species